GGCGGGUUUCCUUCUUCCUUGUCACCGCCAAAUCCAAUAGAGCUCUCUCUCCCUCCCCAGUUUCUGUCACACGGCCACCGUAACUGUCCGACUGCUAAACGGCUCCGCUUGCCAUCUCAGCGAGCUCCGGCGACUCCCUCCUUUUCUUUUUGAAUUAAUAAGUUGCUCUCUGUGUGUGUAUAUCCUAGGUGAAUCAUCAUUUGACAAAUUUGUUUUUGCAAUGGAGAAGCUGAAGUCCAUGGUUCCAGACAGGCUUAAACAGAUAGUGGCAGAUAGCAAUGCUGAUGAUCUUCACUCAACAUCUUCUUCUCUUCUUCACUUUCUCAAGAACUUGUCACAGUUUCACCAAAUGAUUAGAGAUUUGACAGAUCUGGAGGCUGCUCUUUGUGCUAAGAAUAAGGAUGCAGCUUUGGAAUUGAAGCAAAAGGCCAAUAAAUGCUAUUCCCAUGGAGAUUAUGACACGGCAUUGGCUUCCUAUUCUCAGGCAUUGCGCAUUGCUCCAACAGAUGCUAUUGACAUGGACAAAAGUCUGGUUGCAACAUUGUAUCUGAACCGAGCUUCUUUGUUUCUUAAAAUAGGACUUCUAAUGGAGUGUAUAAGAGAUUGCAAUCGGGCCUUGCAAAUUUCUCCAAGUUAUGCAAAGGCAUGGUACAGGAGGGGUAAGGCAAACGCUGCUUUAGGCAAUUACAAAGAUGCAAUUCAUGACUUGGAUGUUGCUAAGAAUAUGGAGUUGUCAUUGGGUGGAAAGAAACAAAUAGAAAGUGAAUUAAAGAUAAUUGCAGGCCAAUAUGAGGGCACAAGUGAUAGACGGGUUCAACAUAUUGAAAAUGGCUUGGGGAACUUCAAUGAGCCACACCAGAUAAAUUUAUUAUGUGUCUCCAUGCCAGACAAAGGAAGAGGCAUGGCUCCACCAUGCGACAUUCCUCAAGCUUCCUUGGUCCACAAAGAAGAGCCUUAUGCCCUGAUUAUAUUGAAGAGUUGCCGAGAGACACACUGUCACUACUGCUUGAAUGAAUUACCCGCAGAUACAGUUCCCUGUGUAUCAUGUUCAAUCCCAUUGUACUGUUCCCAACAUUGCCAAUUACAGGCUAGGGGAGAAACAAUCAGUUACUACAGAACAAAAAAUGGGAUUGAUGAUAGUCUGCCCAACAAUCUUAAAGAGUAUAUUGCAGAAGUCACUUCAUGUAGUGAUUCCGAUCCAUAUGUUGAGUGCUUUCCUGAACAUAAGCAUGAAUGCCUUGGUGUGCACUGGCCUGCAGUAUUGCCAUCUGAUAUAGUUUUGGCUGGUCGAAUGCUAGCGAAAUCUAUAUCUCAAAGAAGAGGUUCUAUGGAUUCUAACCUUUUGGGAACUCUGGUAUAUUUCAGUAUAUAGUAAACAUUUUCAUUGUUUAUGAUGACUAUUCUUAUGUAAGAAUUUGACCUCCCACUUCAUUGCCUUGUAGAAUCUUUCUCACGGUUAUUCACAAAUUAGUCCAGAAGGCAAAUUGGAAUUGCAUAUAUACGCUAUUGUACUGUUGUUCUGUCUUCAACACUCUUUUAGCACUGAACUCCCAAUAAAUGGAAUCUCUUUAUCACAGACCAUUAUACUCGUUUCUCAAAUCAGAGUAAACGCUAUGGCAGUUAUCCGUAUGAAAUCUACUGAUGUUCAUUGCCCACCAGAUCAGUUUGGGAAGUUUUCCCAUAUUGGAGAUGCUUUAACUAGUAGUGUGGACCAGGUCCCUGUGGGUAAAGCCAUUUAUAUAGCUGGCAGUCUUUUCAAUCAUUCUUGCCAGCCAAACAUCCAUGCAUAUUUCCUUUCCCGUACUCUGUUUAUUCGAACAACAGAACAUGUAGCAGCUAGCUGUCCUCUGGAGUUGUCCUAUGGUCCUCAGGUUGGGCAGUGGGACUGUAAAGACCGCCUUAAGUUUCUGGAAGAUAAGUACUCGUUUAGAUGUCAGUGCAUUGGUUGUUCACAACUAAAUCUGUCUGACCUGGUUCUAAAUGCUUUCCAUUGUGUCAAUCCAAAUUGUGACGGUGUAGUCCUGGAUGGCUGUGUGAGUAACUCUGAAUUAAACAAACUUAAGAACUUCCCUGGAGUUCCCAAAAUGAAGGUAUUAGACCCUUUUUUACAUGUAUUGCUGUUGCUCUGCAAUGGAAUUUUGGUCUUAGCAUCAGGUGUAUCGCAAGUGUAGUUAUUCUGUUGCAUCUCAAUUUUUAGAUUGAAUAACUAAACUCACCUAUAUCUGCAGGAGUUGCUAACCACCUACAGCUACAAAAUGUGUGCAGUUUUGUUCUGGAACUCAAUAGUGUUGUGUCUGAUUCUGUAUCCGUAACCUGUUGGAAAAUGGAAUCACAUGUAGACAUUCUUUUGACUACAACUAUUCCUAUGUUGAACUGCAUUAGAAAUUGUGUUUAUUUUCCUCUUUCUUUCAUAAUGAAUUUUCAUGUAUUAAUAGUUUGAUGAGCUGAAUAAUGCCAAUAUUGAUAAUGUAGCUGUGUUAGAAAUUUUGUUUUUUUUCCCCCUUUUUUUUUUCCUAAUGAAUUUUCAUAUAUGAAUAGGUUGAUGAGCUGAAUAAUGCCCACAUUGAUAAUGUAGAUCACCUUGUACUUGAGCUAAGCAAUAACUCUUUUAAUAUUCAACCUGGGUAUUGCUUAAAUUGUGGUUCUAAUUGUGAUCUAGAAGCUUCGCAUAAAGCCAUGAGAAAUGCUUGGAUUUGUAUGGAAAGAUUGCAGGAUGCAAUAGUUUCAAAAGAAAUCUCAACUACUAUUCUUUCGGAUGCUUCAAAAGGUCUUGGUGUAUUGAGGUCAAUAUUGCAUAGAUAUAAUAGGCGAAUUGCAGAGGCUGAAGACAAUCUUGCACAAGCAUUUUGUCUAGUAGGAGACUUUCAAUCUGCAAGGGACCAUUGUAAAGAAUCAAUCAAGAUACUUGAGAUGCUAUACGGCAAUGAUCACAUUGCAAUUGGAUAUGAAUUGGUUAAACUUUCAACCAUUCAGCUGUCCUUGGGCGAUCCUCAUGCUGCAGACGCCAUAAAUCGGCUAGGUUUAAUAUUUGUGAGGUAUCACGGAUCACACUCAAACGUUGUUUUCCCAUAUCUGCAAACUCUGAAAAGAGAAGCCAGCAAUUUAACUCAAUAGAAGGCUGACCCCUGUUGUUAUAUGUCCCAUAUCUGCAAAUGCUGAAGUAAAGCUUGUGAUUAUCAAAGUUUGUUAUCUUAUUAAAUGAAUGGUUGGCCGAACCGGUUUUGGCGUCUACAAUCAGUGCUCAGUUUCUUCAUGAUCUUAAAAGAGUUUGGCCUCUGUCCCUCUAGCUCUGCCUUAAAGAUGUUUAAAUUAGCACUUUUGUCUGCAAAUUUAUUUAGGCCUUCUUGUCUGGAUAUAUAUAUAUAUAUGUCAUGUUGAAUUAUUGAAUUCAAAUGAUUGUGAGCUACUAAACUGGUAUUAUAGGUCAUACUGUGCAUACAAAAAUGUUUUGCUCAGUUUGUAACAAGUUUGAAUUGGAAUUGACUUAGUCAAACUUGGGCGAGCUCGAGAUUGGUGACUAAUAUGCGGAUGGUUUUUCC
rnacentral:misc_RNA from 1 species